CCUACGGGUGGCAGCAGUAAGGAAUAUUGGUCAAUGGAGGCAACUCUGAACCAGCCAUGCCGCGUGCAGGAUGACGGCCCUAUGGGUUGUAAACUGCUUUUAUACAAGAGAAAACCCUGGUACGUGUACCAGGUUGAUAGUAUUGUAAGAAUAAGCAUCGGCUAACUUCGUGCCAGCAGCCGCGGUAAGACGAAGGAUGCAAGCGUUAUCCGGAUUCAUUGGGUCUAAAGGGUGCGUGUGCGGAAGUGUAGAAAUCUCUUUGCUUAACAAAGAAACUGCCAUUGAUACUGCAGGUCUAGAGUAUAGAUGACGUUGGCGGAAUAUGACAUGUAGUGGUGAAAUACUUAGAUAUGUCAUAGAACACCGAUUGCGAAGGCAGCUAACGAAACUAUAACUGACGCUGAGGCACGAAAGUGCGGGGAUCAAACAGGAUUAGAUACCCGUGUAGUC
rnacentral:rRNA from 1 species